rnacentral:rRNA from 1 species
GUGAACGCUGGCGGUAGGCCUAACACAUGCAAGUCGAACGGCAGCACAGUAAGAGCUUGCUCUUACGGGUGGCGAGUGGCGGACGGGUGAGGAAUACAUCGGAAUCUACUUUUUCGUGGGGGAUAACGUAGGGAAACUUACGCUAAUACCGCAUACGACCUACGGGUGAAAGCAGGGGAUCUUCGGACCUUGCGCGAUUGAAUGAGCCGAUGUCGGAUUAGCUAGUUGGCGGGGUAAAGGCCCACCAAGGCGACGAUCCGUAGCUGGUCUGAGAGGAUGAUCAGCCACACUGGAACUGAGACACGGUCCAGACUCCUACGGGAGGCAGCAGUGGGGAAUAUUGGACCAUGGGCGCAAGCCUGAUCCAGCCAUACCGCGUGGGUGAAGAAGGCCUUCGGGUUGUAAAGCCCUUUUGUUGGGAAAGAAAAGCAGCAGGUUAAUACCCCGCUGUUCUGACGGUACCCAAAGAAUAAGCACCGGCUAACUUCGUG